GUAGUCAUAUGCUUGUCUCAAAGAUUAAGCCAUGCAUGUCUAAGUAUAAGCAAUUAUACGGCGAAACUGCGAAUGGCUCAUUAUAUAAGUUAUCGUUUAUUUGAUAGUACUUUACUACUUGGAUAACCGUGGUAAUUCUAGAGCUAAUAUAUGCUUAAAAUCCCGACUUCGGAAGGGAUGUAUUUAUUAGAUUAAAAACCAAUGCCCUUCGGGGCUCCUUGGUGAUUCGUGAUAACUUCUCGAAUCGCAUGGCCUUGUGCCGGCGAUGGUUCAUUCAAAUUUCUUCCCUAUCAACUUUCGAUGUUUGGGUAUUGGCCAAACAUGGUUGCAACGGGUAACGGAGGGUUAGGGCUCGACCCCGGAGAAGGAGCCUGAGAAACGGCUACUACAUCCAAGGAAGGCAGCAGGCGCGCAAAUUACCCAAUCCCGACUCGGGGAGGUAGUGACAAUAAAUACUGAUACAGGGUUCUUUUGGAUCUUGUAAUUGGAAUGAGUACAAUUUAAAUCCCUUAACGAGGAA
rnacentral:rRNA from 1 species